rnacentral:rRNA from 1 species
AGUGAACGCUGGCGGUAGGCCUAACACAUGCAAGUCGAACGGCAGCACAGUAAGAGCUUGCUCUUACGGGUGGCGAGUGGCGGACGGGUGAGGAAUACAUCGGAAUCUACUUUUUCGUGGGGGAUAACGUAGGGAAACUUACGCUAAUACCGCAUGCGACCUACGGGUGAAAGCAGGGGAUCUUCGGACCUUGCGCGAUUGAAUGAGCCGAUGUCGGAUUAGCUAGUUGGCGGGGUAAAGGCCCACCAAGGCGACGAUCCGUAGCUGGUCUGAGAGGAUGAUGAGCCACACUGGAACUGAGACACGGUCCAGACUCCUACGGGAGGCAGCAGUGGGGAAUAUUGGACAAUGGGCGCAAGCCUGAUCCAGCCAUACCGCGUGGGUGAAGAAGGCCUUCGGGUUGUAAAGCCCUUUUGUUGGGAAAGAAAAGCGGCAGGUUAAUACCCCGCUGUUCUGACGGUACCCAAAGAAUAAGCACCGGCUAACUUCGUG